rnacentral:rRNA from 1 species
AUUGAACGCUGGCGGCAGGCCUAACACAUGCAAGUCGAGCGGAUGAAGGGAGCUUGCUCCUGGAUUCAGCGGCGGACGGGUGAGUAAUGCCUAGGAAUCUGCCUGGUAGUGGGAGAUAACGUCCGGAAACGGGCGCUAAUACCGCAUACGUCCUGAAGGAGAAAGGGGGGGAUCUUCGUACCUCACGCUAUCAGAUGAGCCUAGGUCGGAUUAGCUAGUUGGUGGGGUAAAGGCCUACCAAGGCGACGAUCCGUAACUGGUAUGAGAGGAUGCUCAGUCACACUGGAAUUGAGACCCGGUCCAGACUCCUACGGGAGGCAGACGUGGGGCAUCUUGGAACAUGGGCGCAAGCCUGAUCCAGCCAUGCCGCGUGUGUGAAGAAGGUCUUCGGAUUGUAAAGCACUUUAAGUUGGGAGGAAGGGCAGUAAGUUACUACCUUGCUGUUCUGACGUUACCAACAGAAUAAGCACCGGCCAAAUUCGUG